rnacentral:rRNA from 1 species
AUUGAACGCUGGCGGCAGGCCUAACACGUGCAAGUCGAGCGGAUGAAGGGGGCUUGCUCCUGGAUUCAGCGGCGGACGGGUGAGUAAUGCCUAGGAAUCUGCCUGGUAGUGGGGGAUAACGUCCGGAAACGGGCGCUAAUACCGCAUACGUCCUGAGGGAGAAAGUGGGGGAUCUUCGGACCUCACGCUAUCAGAUGAGCCUAGGUCGGAUUAGCUAGUUGGUGGGGUAAAGGCCUACCAAGGCGACGAUCCGUAACUGGUCUGAGAGGAUGAUCAGUCACACUGGAACUGAGACACGGUCCAGACUCCUACGGGAGGCAGCAGUGGGGAAUAUUGGACAAUGGGCGAAAGCCUGAUCCAGCCAUGCCGCGUGUGUGAAGAAGGUCUUCGGAUUGUAAAGCACUUUAAGUUGGGAGGAAGGGCAGUAAGUUAAUACCUUGCUGUUUUGACGUUACCAACAGAAUAAGCACCGGCUAACUUCGUG